GAUGAACGCUGGCGGCGUGCCUAAUACAUGCAAGUCGAGCGAACAGACGAGGAGCUUGCUCCUCUGACGUUAGCGGCGGACGGGUGAGUAACACGUGGAUAACCUACCUAUAAGACUGGGAUAACUUCGGGAAACCGGAGCUAAUACCGGAUAAUAUAUUGAACCGCAUGGUUCAAUAGUGAAAGACGGUUUUGCUGUCACUUAUAGAUGGAUCCGCGCCGCAUUAGCUAGUUGGUAAGGUAACGGCUUACCAAGGCGACGAUGCGUAGCCGACCUGAGAGGGUGAUCGGCCACACUGGAACUGAGACACGGUCCAGACUCCUACGGGAGGCAGCAGUAGGGAAUCUUCCGCAAUGGGCGAAAGCCUGACGGAGCAACGCCGCGUGAGUGAUGAAGGUCUUCGGAUCGUAAAACUCUGUAAUUAGGGAAGAACAAAUGUGUAAGUAACUAUGCACGUCUUGACGGUACCUAAUCAGAAAGCCACGGCUAACUACGUG
rnacentral:rRNA from 1 species